rnacentral:rRNA from 1 species
CUUGGUCAUUUAGAGGAAGUAAAAGUCGUAACAAGGUUUCCGUAGCUCAAGUACGGGACAACUCGAUUGUGAGGUCGAGAUGAUCCUUCCGCGUAACACUUGCCGAAGCCUUAGCAGCCUGAAAGGGUGCAACCCGACGACUCUAAUAAUACGAGGUUGCUUAAAUGCUAGUCUACUUCUUGUAGGCGAUACUAUCAAAUUGCGGGAACACCCUAAAGACCUCAACACCAAGCGAUCGUGGGAAACCAUGGCGUGGCCGAGCUAAUAGCCCUGGGUAUGGUAACAGCUUGAGGUAUGAUGCCCCUAAUAAGGGCUGAAAUGGGCAAUCCGCAGCCAAGUCCUACCGUGCUCGUACGAGCGCUAUGGAUGCUGUUCACAGGCCAAAUGAUAGUAGGUGACUUCCAGGAAUGGGGUUGCUUAAGAUAUGGUCGGGCCCCUUCAGAAAUGUUGGGGGUAAGUUUACGCUUGUCAUAAAAACCGUUCCGUAGGUGAACCUGCGGAAGGAUCAUUAAAGAAUCGCCCCGUUUCUUGAAAUGGGUUCUAUUCCCAAACCGUGUCUAUAUUACCUUUGUUGCUUUGGCAGGCCGCCUUCGGGCGUUGGCCUCGGCUCACAGCGCCUGCCAGAGGACCCAAACUCUUUUGUUUAGUGAUGUCUGAGUACUAUAUAAUAGUUAAAACUUUCAACAACGGAUCUCUUGGUUCUGGCAUCGAUGAAGAACGCAGCGAAAUGCGAUAAGUAAUGUGAAUUGCAGAAUUCAGUGAAUCAUCGAAUCUUUGAACGCACAUUGCGCCCUUUGGUAUUCCGAAGGGCAUGCCUGUUCGAGCGUCAUUAUGACCACUCAAGCCUCGGCUUGGUAUUGGGGUUCGCGGUCUUCGCGGCCCUUAAAAUCAGUGGCGGUGCCAUCUGGCUCCCAGCGUAGUAGUUUAUCUCGCUAUUGGGUCCGGUGGUUGCUUGCCAACAACCCCUAAUUUCUCACGGUUGACCUCGGAUCAGGUAGGGAUACCCGCUGAACUUAAGCAUAUCAAUAAGCGGAGGA